UUGAGCUUUCCUCUCUUCCCGAAUCUUGUAACUCCCUUCCAUGGGGCAACACGCAACAAUACAUGAUCCCCAAUACUAAAUUCCACGUCCUUUCGAUGAAGAUCCGCAUAACUCUUUUGUCGAUCUUGAGCCGUUUGUAUACGUUGUCGAAUCAUUUGGAUCUUUUCCGUAGUCAUACGUACCAACUCGGAUCCCAACAAUGUUGCUUCACCCACCUCAUCCCAAUAUAUUAGAGAGCGACACUUUCGUCCAUACAAUGCUUCGAAUGGAGCCACACCUAUACUUGCCUGAUAGCUGUUGUUGUAGGAGAAUUCCACCAAUGGUA
rnacentral:lncRNA from 1 species